CCCUUAGAGUUUGAUCCUGGCUCAGGAUGAACGCUAGCGGCAGGCCUAAUACAUGCAAGUCGAACGAGAUUCAAGACUUCGGUUUUGAUGAAAGUGGCGCACGGGUGCGUAACGCGUAUGCAACCUACCUUGUACAGGGGGAUAGCCCGGAGAAAUUCGGAUUAAUACCCCAUAGCAUUACCAGAUGGCAUCUGAAGGUAAUUAAAGAUUUAUCGGUACAAGAUGGGCAUGCGUGACAUUAGUUAGUUGGUAAGGUAACGGCUUACCAAGACUAUGAUGUCUAGGGGUUCUGAGAGGAUGAUCCCCCACACUGGUACUGAGAUACGGACCAGACUCCUACGGGAGGCAGCAGUAGGGAAUAUUGGUCAAUGGGCGAGAGCCUGAACCAGCCAUGCCGCGUGCAGGAAGACGGCCUUCUGAGUUGUAAACUGCUUUUAUACGGGAAGAAAAUGCCCUUGCGAGGGAAAUUGCCGGUACCGUAUGAAUAAGCACCGGCUAACUCCGUGCCAGCAGCCGCGGUAAUACGGAGGGUGCAAGCGUUGUCCGGAUUUAUUGGGUUUAAAGGGUGCGUAGGCGGGUCUUUAAGUCAGUGGUGAAAGCCUGCGGCUCAACCGUAGAACUGCCAUUGAUACUGGAGGCCUUGAGUGUACUAGAGGUAGGCGGAAUUUAUGGUGUAGCGGUGAAAUGCAUAGAUACCAUAAAGAACACCGAUAGCGUAGGCAGCUUACUGGAGUACAACUGACGCUGAGG
rnacentral:rRNA from 1 species